GACGAACCGUGCGAACGUUGUUCGGAAUCACUGGGCUUAAAGGACGCGCGAGAGCGGCAUGGCAAGUCAGGAGUGAAAGGCCUGGGCUCAACCGAGGAACUGCUUUUGAUACUGCCAAGCUAGAGUGCGGAAGGGGCAACUGGAAUUCCCAGUGUAGCGGUGAAAUGCGUAGAUAUUGGGAAGAACACCUGAGGCGAAGGCGGGUUGCUGGGCCGACACUGACGCUGAGGCGCGAAAGCCAGGGGAGCAAACGGG
rnacentral:rRNA from 1 species